rnacentral:rRNA from 1 species
UGGAUUCAGCGGCGGACGGGUGAGUAAUGCCUAGGAAUCUGCCUGGUAGUGGGGGACAACGUUUCGAAAGGAACGCUAAUACCGCAUACGUCCUACGGGAGAAAGCAGGGGACCUUCGGGCCUUGCGCUAUCAGAUGAGCCUAGGUCGGAUUAGCUAGUUGGUGAGGUAAUGGCUCACCAAGGCGACGAUCCGUAACUGGUCUGAGAGGAUGAUCAGUCACACUGGAACUGAGACACGGUCCAGACUCCUACGGGAGGCAGCAGUGGGGAAUAUUGGACAAUGGGCGAAAGCCUGAUCCAGCCAUGCCGCGUGUGUGAAGAAGGUCUUCGGAUUGUAAAGCACUUUAAGUUGGGAGGAAGGGUUGUAGAUUAAUACUCUGCAAUUUUGACGUUACCGACAGAAUAAGCACCGGCUAACUCUGUGCCAGCAGCCGCGGUAAUACAGAGGGUGCAAGCGUUAAUCGGAAUUACUGGGCGUAAAGCGCGCGUAGGUGGUUUGUUAAGUUGGAUGUGAAAUCCCCGGGCUCAACCUGGGAACUGCAUCCAAAACUGGCAAGCUAGAGUAUGGUAGAGGGUGGUGGAAUUUCCU